GUUAGGAAUAUUGGACAAUGGGCGCAAGCCUGAUCCAGCCAUGCCGCGUGAGUGAUGAAGGCCUUCGGGUCGUAAAGCUCUGUUGCAGGGGAAGAACACAAUGACGGUACCCUGCUAGAAAGGAUCGGCUAACUUCGUGCCAGCAGCCGCGGUAAGACGAGGGAUCCUAGCGUUGUUCGGAAUUAUUGGGCGUAAAGCGGGUGCAGGUGGCUUGGUAAGUCAGAUGUGAAAGCCUGGGGCUUAACCCCAGAAGUGCAUUUGAUACUGCUGAGCUUGAGUGCUGGAGAGGCUAUUAGAAUUCCUGGUGUAGUGGUGAAAUACGUAGAUAUCAGGAGGAAUACCGGAGGCGAAGGCGGAUAGCUGGCCAGACACUGACACUCAGACCCGAAAGCGUGGGGAUCAAACAGGAUUAGAUACCCUAGUAGUCC
rnacentral:rRNA from 1 species